GUUUGGUAGUUGUUGCAGUCAGCAUUCACACCUUGGACGAUUUUUCAGCACUAAAUAUGGGGAAAGAAUUUCGUAUUCGCUGUUCCUAAUCCAAAGCAUUUUAAAAGAUGCUGACCAAAGUCCUGGUGUUGAUUUAAAAAUAAUGUAUGAUAUUGGAUGUGUAUUAUCAUCACAUUUAAAGGCAAACAAGAGGCAUGACAUUUUGUCAAAAGUCUCAAUUUCGGUGCCGAUAUUUCAUUUUUAUGGACACAAGGCUUCAUGCCAGGUCAAAUUCAGUCCUAGAAGGCUCGAUGGUUUUGGUCUUACAGAUGGUGAGGCUAUUGAAAGGCUCUGGGCUUACCUUCGUAGGUUCUCUGCAAUUACUAAGGAGAUGUCUGCCAGUAGAA